GAUGAAGAACGUAGCGAAAUGCGAUACGUGGUGUGAAUUGCAGAAUCCCGUGAACCAUCGAGUCUUUGAACGCAAGUUGCGCCCGAAGCCAUCAGGUUGAGGGCACGUCUGCCUGGGCGUCACAUAUCGUUGCCCAAUGCCUAUUGCAGUGCAAUAGGAAUUUCUAGGGCGAAUGAUGGCUUCCCGUGAGCGUUGUUGCCUCGCGGUUGGUUGAAAAUCGAGUCCUUGGUAGGGUGUGCCAUGGUAGAUGGUGGUCGAGUUAGAACGAUACCGAUCAUGUGCAUGCUCCCCAAAAUAUGGCCUCUAUGACCCACACGCGUCUUUUGACGCUCAUGACGAGACCUCAGGUCAGGCGGGGCUACCCGCUGAAUUUAAGCAUAUCAAUAAGCGGAGGA
rnacentral:misc_RNA from 1 species